CACGUAGGGCGCGAGCGUUGUCCGGAAUUAUUUGGGCGUAAAGAGCUCGUAGGCGGCCUGUUGCGUCCGCUGUGAAAGCCCCGGGGCUUAACCCGGGUCGGCAGUGGAUACGGGCAGGCUAGAGGUAGGUAGGGGAGAAUGGAAUUCCCGGUGGUAGCGGUGAAAUGACGUAGAUAUCGGGAGGAACACCAGUGGCGAAGGCGAGUCUCUGGGAUGAUGCUGACGCUGAGGCGCGGAAAGCCAGGGGAGGCAAAACGGG
rnacentral:rRNA from 1 species